rnacentral:rRNA from 1 species
GAUGAACGCUGGCGGCGUGCCUAAUACAUGCAAGUCGAGCGAACAGACGGGGAGCUUGCUCCUUUGACGUUAGCGGCGGACGGGUGAGUAACACGUGGGUAACCUACCUAUAAGACUGGGAUAACUUCGGGAAACCGGAGCUAAUACCGGAUAAUAUUUCGAACCGCAUGGUUCGAUAGUGAAAGAUGGCUUUGCUAUCACUUAUAGAUGGACCUGCGCCGUAUUAGCUAGUUGGUAAGGUAACGGCUUACCAAGGCAACGAUACGUAGCCGACCUGAGAGGGUGAUCGGCCACACUGGAACUGAGACACGGUCCAGACUCCUACGGGAGGCAGCAGUAGGGAAUCUUCCGCAAUGGGCGAAAGCCUGACGGAGCAACGCCGCGUGAGUGAUGAAGGUCUUCGGAUCGUAAAACUCUGUUAUUAGGGAAGAACAAACGUGUAAGUAACUGUGCACGUCUUGACGGUACCUAAUCAGAAAGCCACGGCUAACUAUGUG